rnacentral:rRNA from 1 species
GUGCAGCGCCGCGGUAAUACCGGCAGUCCGAGUGAUGACCGAUCUUAUUAGGCCUAAAGCGUCCGUAGCUGGCUACGCAAGUCCGUCGGGAAAUCCACUCGCCCAACGAGUGGGCGUCCGACGGAAACUGCAUAGCUUGGGACCGGAAGGCUCGAAGGGUACGUUCGGGGUAGGAGUGAAAUCCCAUAAUCCCGCACGGACCACCGAUGGCGAAAGCACUUCGAGAAAACGGAUCCGAUAGUGAGGGACGAAAGCCAGGGUCUCCAACCGGAUUAGAAACCCUGGUAGUCC